AGGCAGAAGUUAGAACAUAUGUGUUGUCUUCAAUUGUAUUCCCCAGAUCCUCAUUCUUACCAUGACUUUGGCUAGGAAAUAAGAUAUUCAUUAUUUUAAGAAGAAUUGAAUGGAGUUGAGCGGCGAGCAUCAGGAGCAUAAAACAGUUUGAUAUGACAAAGAGACAAGAUCAAGUAGAGGGACAGGCUUUCUGUACUGAGAAGAAUGGCUUUUCCUGUAUGACAACACUUUGGGACUGAAAAUAACAAUGGCUGAAAACUUGAGUCUCUCUCUGAACACGGACAGAUGCUACAUCACCUUAAGGGCUGCUCCUGAUGUCCUCCAGGGUGGCCGUGAGAACUUCCACAUCAUCCAGUAUCCGUCCUUCUUGAACCAGUUUACCGCAUUGCAAAGGUGUCAUUAGCAUGACCGCUUCACUGACGUUCUAACAUCACAAUCAUUGGGCUUCGAUGAUCGUCUUUCUGAGCCAAGGACAGCAACUGUCAAUCCCUUUCAACCGGAUUUGACUCAGUCGCUGAACCAGUGCAGAGAAAGCGAAGACGGUCACUGUACCAGAGAGUGUAUCAUUUUGACAAGACAUCUAUCUCUAGCAGCUGAUUGUCUCCUCACGUCAUGGACAGUGUGCAUCAGU
rnacentral:sRNA from 1 species